rnacentral:misc_RNA from 1 species
AGCAGCCGCGGUAAUUCCAGCUCCAAUAGCGUAUAUUAAAGUUGUUGCAGUUAAAAAGCUCGUAGUUGAAUUUCGGGAUCAAAGGAUCGGUCAUGCCUUGGUAUGUACUGGUUUUAUUGGUUCUCACCUUCUAAAGAACCAUAAUGUCAUUCAUUUGAUGUUAUGGGGAAUUAGGACUGUUACCUUGAAAAAUUAGAGUGUUUAAAGCAGGCUUACGCUUGAAUACAUUAGCAUGGAAUAAUGAAAUAGGACAUCAGAUUCUAUUUUGUUGGUUUCUAGGAUCGAUGUAAUGAUUAAUAGGGAUAGUUGGGGGCAUUAGUAUUCAAUUGUCAGAGGUGAAAUUCUUGGAUUUAUUGAAGACUAACUACUGCGAAAGCAUUUGCCAAGGAUGUUUUCAUUAAUCAAGAACGAAAGUUAGGGGAUCGAAGACGAUCAGAUACCGUCGUAGUCUUAACCACAAACUAUGCCGACUAGGGAUCGGAUGAUGUUAAUUUUAUAAUGACUC